ACUAAAACAAUACACUUACAGUCUACUUAAUACAUUUAUGUUUAAGAUGGAAACAUAAUUUUAUUGUUUAAAUUCUAAAUGAAAUUCAACAUAAUCAUCAAAACAUGAUAUAAUCACUUUGCAAGAAAAUGUUCAAAUUGUUUCAGAUUUCAAACAAAUUGUGUUCAUGUAAAAUGAUUUUUUUCUGCUGUUUGAUUUAUUUAAUUAAAAUAAGCCCAUGUCACACAAUUACUUUGUAUUUUCUUCUCAACUUAAUUCCAUUGUGUAGGCUAUAAUUAAUCUAAUUCAGGUUUGUGAAAUAGUCGUUUGCGCGGGAGCAACGUGCGCGAGAGCGUCUGCGCAUGGGAUUUGAAAUCCAGACCACACCAGGACCGUUGGUUUGGAAAGGACACAUGAGGGGACUGACUGUAUUGUUUUCAAAGCUCGUUAAAAGUGACAUUUGGAAUUCCAAAGCCUGUUAAGACAAAUUACGAGCUAAGUCAGUCCCCAACAAAGCCUUGUAGAAGUCGGUGAAUUAACUGAUGAAUACCUCUUGGCUGACUAUUUGACUGGACAUGUGCAGAUGGUAACGUUAAAGAGAUUUGUCUGCUGCAAAGGAUGACAUUGAUGCAGCUUGUGAACUUGCCAUCAGAGGACUGGUUAUCUAUCUUAAUGAGGACCCUAAAGAGCUCAUUCAGGAGUAUGUGGACAUGGAAGAAGAUCCAGUUUAUUUUACAGUAUGCGAUUGAGAAGACUACCAUGGGCAUCUUCCUGAUAAAGCACACUGCAGACAAUGAAGCCCAUGAUGUAGGCAUUGUGCUAGAGGGUGUAGCAGUGCUUCAGGACCUCAACAGUGUGGAUUUUGCAACUUCAAUGUUGUUUGGUCUAAUUUAUGCUCUUAACCUGCAGUACCCCACAAAGUUGCGUUUUACAUAUGAAAUUUACCAAAAACUCUUCAUAGACUUGGAUGCAGGUGAACUCUCUAUCAAGGCCCAAUUUCAAAUCUGAACUCAACCAGUGAGAUGGACUGAUUUUUGAAUGACUUCUGUGACUACAAACAAUCAACCUCUGAAAAUUUCAGCAGCCUUCAUGCAAGACCACCGCAGAGGGUAAACUGUGAUCUUGUUGUUUAGACUGUUCCCCUUUGCCUGCUCUUGUUUCUUUAUCUUUUUUUUUGUCUGAAUUUGGCCCUUCUUUGGACUGGGUCAGAAGUUGAUUGAUUAGAGAGCUGAAUCUAUGAAACAUGGUUGAACUAGCAUAAAUAAGAUACAUUGUUUAUAGUUUAGGUAAGGGUCAGAUACUGUAUUUUCACAUUAUUUUGUAAUGUCUAUAUAUAAUUAUCUUUGAGACGAAAGCGUUUUUCUUGAAAUAAGUUCCAGGUAGGGCUGCACGAUAUUGGGAAAAAAUAACAUUGCGAUAUUUUAUUUUUCUGCGAUAUAUAUUGCAAUAUGAAAUCUAAUCUAAUUUUUUCUUACAAACAAAAAUUGGGUGAGCACACUUACGUUCUUAUUUUAAAUGAUUAAAACCUCGACACCAUCGUGUCAAUUGAUUAAUAUGUGCGAGGGAGAGAGAACAAGACAUUGCCCAUGGUGUUUGAAGACGAUGAGCGUGCGGCCGGGGCUCUCUCUCUCUCUCGUGCAUGCUCUCUCUCUCUCUCCUCUCUCUCUCUCAUGCAUGCUCUCUCUCUCUCUCUCUCGUGCAAGCGCUCUCUCUCUCUCUCUCUCUCUCUCGUGCUCUCUCUGUCUCUCUCUGCCCUGUUAAACUGACAGGACUUAAAAACAUGUAAAUGAUAAACUUUUACUCUAUGAUGGUUUAGCUGUACAAUUAAUCGGCUAAUCACAUUCAUCAAAAGACGGGGAGCAGCUGCCCGUACAGUUAAUGAAUAACGAAUCAACUACGACAGCCUACAUCACACAUCCUGCGAUGUGACUAUCGUGGAUUCAUACAUCGCGAUAUCGAUGCUUAAACGACACAUCGUGCAGCCCUAGUUACAGGUACUGGUGUUCUUGUGUACAGUUUUAAGGUUUCUGAGAGAAAUGAAAUAAAUUAGUGUUACAAUGUUGUAUUAGUUUUUAAACACACGGUUACAUGCAGUAUAAUGUUACUUAUGUUUAUGAUAUUGUUUAAAAAAAAAAGAAAUCUUGUAAAACUUUUGAAGGUUUAAAUAUAUUGUUGAUCUACAUGUUAUGCAUACAAAAUGAACCGUCUUUGUUUUUAUACUAGUCUAAUUAAAACUGAUGUAUUUUUAUUAAAUUUAAUCAUCAGAGAAGUUAUUUAUGCUAUGCUUUUGAAAGCACAAUGUUAUUUAGAC